rnacentral:rRNA from 1 species
ACUCCUACGGGAGGCAGCAGUGAGGAAUAUUGGUCAAUGGACGAGAGUCUGAACCAGCCAAGUAGCGUGAAGGAUGACUGCCCUAUGGGUUGUAAACUUCUUUUAUACGGGAAUAAAGUGAGGCACGUGUGCCUUUUUGUAUGUACCGUAUGAAUAAGGAUCGGCUAACUCCGUGCCAGCAGCCGCGGUAAUAC